UGGCGGUAGCGAGUGUACGCGCAGGAUCCAAAAUCCUCUCGUCGAAAACAGGACGAACGGCAUGGUUUCACUCCCAAGGUGUCGUCGACGGGCAGCGGCGCAAUUUUUCCAGCGGUGGUUGCUGAUCGACCUACGCGGUGAUCCGGUUGAGUUAGUCAGUACGAAGAGUUUUGCCGUGGUUGGAGCGAGCCUAGAGGCUGUCAAGGAUGGCCGCCAACCAUGCGAGUUACGCAGCACGUGUCGCAACUUCCAUCCGACUACAUCAUCGGUGCGCACACCUCGCGGCUUAACACGUUAUCACGCUAAAUAUUUCUGGACACCGAGUACGUAUAAUUUCAGGAAGCGAUUAGCUGUGCUCUAUCGUGUACCUUAUGUACACCAAUGGAAGCUACGAAGAAAAAAUCUACUUCAAAGUAAGGCACACAUAUUACGCAUUUUUUCUCCUGGAGCGGUCGUGGCUUUUACCGGAGAAAACAAGGAAACUAUUGAAAACGUCAACAAAGCUGUAACUUAAUAUGCAUAAGUACGUAGUCUACGCGUCACUUGUCUAUUUGUUGCACGUCUUAAUUUAUAAUAUACUCGUUUUGCGUUGAGGAUGACCACGAACCGAGGGUCGAAGCGCCAUACGCGUUAAAAACAAAUGUUUCAAGCCUCCCUUGUUAGUCUUAAACGAGAAUCUCGCGAAACAGGUAGAUUAUUUAUCAUCGCGACAGGUACGAUUCAUGCCACGUGAACUCGAGUAGCGGAAUAAAGUCCACCCGAGAAUAGAGACGGAAGGAAGGUUGACCACUCGACUUUGGUUCUCGAGUCGCAGCGGUUCGACGAUUUCACGACCGCGAGGUUAUAACCCGCGAAGUACCGACACGAAAGUUUUUCUUUUUCUUCGUCAACAGCGUGUACGUGUAGUCAAGGAUGUCCAGCGCGGUGCAAGUCGUCGUCACGUGUCGCAACAACGUUCAUCCGACGACGUCAUCGGCGUCCACGAGAAACGCCUUAACGAGCGCUCGCGGACUCGUGUCGGCUUGAGCUGACGUCGGAUUCAAAAUUUUAUUCGAAUAAUAAGCGACCAAGAGUCGCUUCAGACUAAGAAAUCAAACGGGAGGAAAUAUCGUGACUCGAGUUCGAGUUCGACGAGCGAUCGCUGCAGCGAUUUUCGUGGAUCUCCGGGAAGAUUGAGAUUCGUGGGGCUGUUAGUCGAUUCGCGGCAGGUCGUCGGGCCAAAACGAUGUGAAAUCACGCGAAACGCGAAGAGGAAGAAGUAGAAGAAGAAGAACAGGGCACCUCGGAAUUCAAGCUUACGAAACGUUGAUGAGGAAACGUGCCAGGGACGAAGGAGCGAAGGGAAAGACUCAAUCUUCGGAUUCCGCCGGACGACUAGAGGGAACGAAUGCCUGGAAGGCCGACGACAUUUCGAGCUGUCGUUACAUCAUCGACAGAACCAGAUCGUCGUAGACGCUGGAGCUUUUUCACUUUCGUGGAUCGAAUAUGUUCGGCCUGACGUUACGCCGAGUCACGAUGUCUUAUUAACUCUCUACCACGGAGCAGUCUCUCCUCGACCACGCACGGGGGCAACAGGAGCAACUUUAAACCGGAGCGGUCCGAGCCAAGCCGAGGCGAGGCGAGCCACUUACCUCUAUUAGACUCACUCGUCCCCGCUUAACGAUCCGCUUCUGCUUCGAUUCGCGAUUUCGAGGAUAAACGCGCGCCGCUCUGCUCACGAUUUACGAUUUGUUGCCUCGUAUAAGACGCCUAUUUGCUUCACCACUGUAACGCGCUGGUCCGAACCGAUUGGGAAGUAGGCGAGACCUUUGAUAAGCGGCCCUGAAAUUCAAAUUGUAGCUCUGAUUCUUUCUUUUAUUCUUAUGUUUCGUUUAAAAACGCACUCCCAGCGUCCAUCCAUAAUGCAUAAUGUUAAAAAGUUGCCAAGCUAUCUUUUCUAGAUACCAACCGACAGUUACAUUAUAAUUAUUGUAAUUAAUGAGAUAUUUCCAUUUAUUUGAAUACAUAAAUAAAUAAAUAAAUUAACUGUGACGCGACUACGUAACGUUUCUGCGGUC